GCCGGGCGUAGAGGCGCAUGCCUAUAAUCCCAGCAGCUCAGGAGGCUGAGGCAGGAGAGUCGCAAAUUCAAAGCCAGCCUCAGCAAUUUAGAGAGGCCCUAAGCAACUCAGUGAGACCCUGUCUCUA
rnacentral:sRNA from 1 species